UUCACUCUUUCAUUCCAUUCCAAUCUGAAACGCUUAUUUUUUACGUUUUUUCUUCCGUUCGUUUUCUUCUUUCUUUGUGUCGUUUCUAUUCAUGAAAAGGGUGUUGUUUUGCCAUACUCGAAGAAGAGGCUGAGGCGUCUUCCCUGCGUGUUCUCCAAUUCUUUCGUUCCUUUUCUCCUUCCCAGCGUCGUUUCUCUCUAGGGUUUUCGAAAUUGACAGAUUUGAGAGAGAUGCUUACAAAGAAGCUUACAAUGACCAGGUUUUGUUUGAUUGCUUGGUGUCUGAGAGGUUCUGGGGGCAGGAUUGGAUCCUCUUUUUAUGUAGACUAAAUUUGAUCUCAAUCAAUUUUCUUCUUGGCAGAUUUGCUGCUUCACUAAUUUGUGCAAAUCCGCUGAGGAGACAGAGUGAUGAAGACGGAAGUGGCGCUCAGGGGAGGCACCUUUCAUCGCGUCUGAUGUGAGCCUCCUUCUCACCAGCACCAUUCAUUGUGCUCUGUUUGCCUUCUAUUUAUUCAGCAGGAGUUUCGGCAUUGAGAAACCACACUAGAAGGGAUUGUUCUUUCACCUUGGAAAUCUAAUCAAGAUUCAGGCACAUGCUUUUACAGGUAAUUUUUCCAUCUUUCCUGCCAUUGAUGUGUAAAUAAGGUAGUUGUGGUGGUUUUCCAUCUUCCUUGCUUUUGAAAGUUCUGUCGGUUCUGGAGGUGAGAUAUUCCUCUGUCUCCAACUUUUUAAUUUUUGUAUGAAUUCUUACUUUUUCUUUAAUGUGACCAUCCCUCUUACGCCUCUCCCUUGAAGUGUGGAAGAACAAGUAAGAAUAAGUUCUGUGGAAUCCAUCCAUUUGUGACCUGCUUAAUAGGCUCUCCAUUGAUUAUUAGGAAUUGGACCUUGACACGUGUAUACCGUUUGGCGAGGACAAGCACUUGGUAGAAAAGCUUCCGCGAAAGGAAUUUGCUUUUGCAAAGCCUAGAGGCUUGGCUUGGAGGGUGUAUCUGUUGUCAUCUCUUCUCGGCUUCUCGCAAACAGGUUCGAUCUUCAAUUUCAAUGUAUUUUCUGACGGAUAAUGAAGAUGGGUCCGAAUGAUUUUCUUACUUUUGAGGCAAAGUCUUCAUUUAUAUAUGGGGGAGAAAUUGAUAAGAGGAAAUGCUAAUCACUAAAUUACAUGAUUGGUUGUGUUUCAUAUAAAUGAUUGUGUUUACAAAGUCCACAUGCACUAAUCAAGUGAGAGUGAUACUUCUGCACUAAUGUUUGUUCAUUACUGGAAAGUUUUUUUUUUUUUCGUUUGGUUGAAUUAAGCAGCAAAAUGUUGAUGUGGCUGCUGAAAAACUCUGUGCUCGGGAUAUAGGAAUUCAAGUGUUGGUGGAUGUUUGCCAUGUUUAUAUUGCUCAACUAAAGAAAAGUUUGAUUAACAAAGCUGUUUUUGUGAAAUUUUCUUCAAAUAAACUAUGAAAUUUGUAUAACAACAUGAUUUGUUAUUAGUUCUUCAGAUGAACUAGGCUGAAAAAUGUGAUUUAUGUCUGUUUCUUUUAUUCAAUCUUUUGAUUCUAGAUUUCUUUUAUUUAACUUCACUUCUUAUUAUGGUUUCCCCUUUUAUUUUAAUUUACAUUUCUCUUUUGAUUUUGGACUAGAACGUGGAAGUUGAAAGAGAAGCAAAGGGAAUAGAGUGUUUGUUGAGAGGCGUCCAUCAGUUAUCAUGUUAAGCAGCGAUAUAAACUCUUAUUUUAUUUUGCUUCUUUUUUACUUUUCAUGAUCUUUUUCUAUUUGUGUGCAAACUUCAAACUCUACACUUUAGCCAUUCCUUGAGGAAUUAUUUCAUCAGUUACUCCUGGCAAACUUGAAACUCUACAUAUUCUGCUAUAAGUUUUCAAGACAAAAUUGACAACUAAUCAAAAUAGUAUUUACAUUAUAAAGCAUGGGCAUAAGUUCUGAAGAUUGUAUACCACUCAAAUUUCUCUUCUCCAUGAUAAAACUUAGCAUCAUUUGACAAUUUUACUGAACAUGAAAAAUCUGUUUUGUUGUUGUAAAUUGAUGUCUAAAUUUUGGAGGAACCAUUAUGGAGGAACCAGGGGACUCAUUAGUAAUAAGUUCUAAAUUGGGAACAACACUAGUGCAUCCAUUUGAGGCCCUGAGAAUAUCCAAGCCUCUCAAGUCACAGACAAGGAGGACUUUCAAAAUUGGAAGAUCUUGGAUGCUAUAAACUGGAGAGAUUUCAGCCACAAAAAAAUUUAGAGCUUGGGUACAAGGAGAGAGCAGCAUCAUUGACUAUUACCAUCAAGAAAGAAUUGGAAUUUAGUGUGUAGUAUCAACGUGAUUACCUAUUGUGUGACCUUCCUGCCCUGCCCCUAAAAAGGAGAGAAUUUGUUGAGCUUUUUAUUUUUUGUAUAACUAUUGGUUGAAACUUAACCUGUGUUGUAUAAUAGAAAAAUGUAAUGAAUUAAUGAUCCUUAAUAAAGACUUUUGCGUUGUAUAA